GUGUUUUUGGGCGGCUCUGAAGCUUUCCUGGCAGCGACUUUUCUACAAACCCCUAUGUGGGAUGCUGCCAGUUUUUAUUUCCUCUAUAUGAACAUGUUUUUUCAAACUAAGAUUUGGGACGAGCACAGUGUUCUUCACUGGUGGAUUCACAUGGUUGUACCUGGCCCCAUCCUUCACUGGAUCAUAAUUGCCAAGCCCUUGUGCAAGCACGACCAUGUCAUGCCCGUGUAGGUGCAUUGGAUUUGAGUCACCCUGUAGCAUUGCGGUGCUCUGGAAGACUAUCUCCACGAUGGCGCCAUGUUGGAACCGCCGGACCAACGUCGCCUUAUGGUGCCAAGGCCAAGCACAAUGAACAUGCGCUCGUCGACUCUUCGUUGCACCGGAAGGCGCGCAUGGUGCCGCAGGCUGGUCAGGUUGCUGUGGAAGUAGAAGGAUGUAACUGUGUCAUGUAUAUCAGGCAUCUCAGGC